rnacentral:sRNA from 1 species
UUAUUUACAGUUUUUAGCCCAAGCAGCAAAGAACUUUGCAUCACAAGAAAACUGUAUCCAGAAUUCUUAUGAAACAAUGAGAAAAAUGGAUCUUCUUCGAUCACAACUGGAAUUCCAAUAUUCAGCAAUAGAAAGAAGCUUGCUGUCCCUGGAUGAAGUACAAGAUCAGAUUGCGUCUAUAAGUCAUUGAAUGCUCACCAUGAAUUCCUAGCACCUUGAUCCAAUGGAUAUUUUGAUUAGAUCAAACAUAAAAUCUUAAAAAAAAAAACAUUGAGCCUUCUGUCCUUUUAAAAGCAUUGCUACAUGCUAGCAUGAGAUGAGAAUACAUUUAGUCCAGCUAUCUGACGCUUGUCAGUUAUCAUCACUAAAUGAAAGAGUUUGUUGGGGCUUAUGUUUGUUGACAGCUACAUUUGUCUGAUUUAUUAACAUUAUUAUCUAGUCAUGACACAAAUACAGGGCAACAAUUGAUUAAUAUUAACAUGAAUGAAUUAAAGCGUUAAAUCUUUUUUUCACAAGAUUUUUUUAAUAAUAAAUAAUGUUAAACACUUCAUUUAAAUGCUUUUUUUUUUUUUUUUUUGUAAUUCCAAUUUAUUUAAUGCUUUCAUAUAUGCAUGUGUGUUCAUAUAUAGGUACGGUACCGGUAUUACAAAUUUAGAAACUAGGAAUAGUGCUGGCUUAUUGAAGUAAAGGAUAUCUGUAAGAAAUCUUUUAUUCAACGAGUCCGAGACUUCAUACCUACUCAGGAUAUUAGGAUGUCUUGGAAUAGAAUAGUCAUAAUGUCUGCCUAUUGUGCUGUUUACACAGUACUGGUACUUUUUUUUCCCCCUUUUUGUUGGUCACAUAAAGGUAAUACACCUGCUUAUUGUAUUGAAAAUAUGAAUUUUACUCAGAAACUUCCUGAUCAACCUUAUUUCUUCACUAGCUUUAAAACACUUUAAAUAAUAUUACUUUUGUCUAAAUAAGGGUUUAGGAUACAGCAAAGAAUAUUUUUGCAAAAUGGUGUUUAUGAAUAAUUUAAAUUGGAUUGUCUCCCCUGCAUUAAAAAAAACAACAUACAAGUAAAGUAAUCCUUCUUUUAUUACUAUUCCUUUAAACUUGCAAAUUCUUCAUUAGAAAAACAAGUCCAGAAGCAAAGAAACAAAAACCUGGUUGGACAUAGUUUCUUGAAAAUGGCUCUAAUAAUUUUCCUGGAAAAUUGACUGGUUGAUGUAUAUCUGGGAAAAUAAUUACGGUAGUAACAAAUUGUCCACACUGGGAAAACUCUAGCUUGAAUUAUUUUUUUUAAUAUUAAAUUUGGUCUAGAUAAUUUUUAUAAGAUAUAGCAGGUAUUUCCGCUGUCUUUAUUAAAUAAAUAGACAUUUAGAAACAUUUGGCACAGUCUUGUAGUUUUAUAGAGUAUAUUUUUAUAUUAAAAAAAAUCACCAUACAAAGGUUGUUGUCAGCUGUAUAAAGGAAGAAUUGUUUUUUUUGUUUCUAAUUAUACUUGUGUUCUAAACAUGGGAGGAAUUAUUUUUCUGUGCAGUUCCAUGGGUAAAAAUAAAUGUAUGUGGCAGUAAAGAAAAUUAUAAUUUUUUUUAUAAUUCAUUUAGCUGUACAUAUUGUUAGUUGAAUUUUGUGAAAAGAAUAAAAUAAUAUGUUACAAA